rnacentral:rRNA from 1 species
AGAGUUUGAUUCUGGCUCAGGAUGAACGCUAGCUACAGGCUUAACACAUGCAAGUCGAGGGGCAGCAUUGGAGUAGCAAUACUCAGAUGGCGACCGGCGCACGGGUGAGUAACACGUAUCCAACCUGCCGCUUACUCGGGGAUAGCCUUUCGAAAGAAAGAUUAAUACCCGAUGGUAUAAAGAGUUCGCAUGUUCUCUUUAUUAAAGAAUUUCGGUAAGCGAUGGGGAUGCGUUCCAUUAGAUAGUUGGCGGGGUAACGGCCCACCAAGUCUACGAUGGAUAGGGGUUCUGAGAGGAAGGUCCCCCACAUUGGAACUGAGACACGGUCCAAACUCCUACGGGAGGCAGCAGUGAGGAAUAUUGGUCAAUGGACGAGAGUCUGAACCAGCCAAAGUAGCGUGAAGGAUGACUGCCCUAUGGGUUGUAAACUUCUUUUAUAAGGGAAUAAAGUGAGGGACGUGUCCCUUUUUGUAUGUACCUUAUGAAUAAGGAUCGGCUAACUCCGUGCCAGCCGCUGC